rnacentral:rRNA from 1 species
UACGUAGGGUGCGAGCGUUGUCCGGAAUCAUUGGGCGUAAAGGGCGCGUAGGUGGCCCGGUCAGCGUGCGGUGAAAGCUCGGGGCUCAACCCCGAGUCGGCCGUGCGAACUGCUGGGCUUGAGCACUGUAGAGGCAGGCGGAAUUCCGGGUGUAGCGGUGGAAUGCGUAGAGAUCCGGAAGAACACCGGUGGCGAAGGCGGCCUGCUGGGCAGUGGCUGACACUGAGGCGCGACAGCGUGGGGAGCAAACAGG